rnacentral:rRNA from 1 species
UACGAAGGGGGCUAGCGUUGCUCGGAAUCACUGGGCGUAAAGCGCACGUAGGCGGCUUCUUAAGUCAGGGGUGAAAUCCUGGAGCUCAACUCCAGAACUGCCCUUGAUACUGAGGAGCUUGAGUCCGGGAGAGGUGAGUGGAACUGCGAGUGUAGAGGUGAAAUUCGUAGAUAUUCGUAAGAACACCAGUGGCGAAGGCGGCUCACUGGCCCGGUACUGACGCUGAGGUGCGAAAGCGUGGGGAGCAAACGGG